AUUGAACGCUGGCGGCAUGCCUUACACAUGCAAGUCGAACGGUAACAGGUCUUCGGAUGCUGACGAGUGGCGAACGGGUGAGUAAUACAUCGGAACGUGCCCGAGAGUGGGGGAUAACGAGGCGAAAGCUUUGCUAAUACCGCAUACGAUCUCAGGAUGAAAGCAGGGGACCGCAAGGCCUUGCGCUCACGGAGCGGCCGAUGGCAGAUUAGGUAGUUGGUGGGAUAAAAGCUUACCAAGCCGACGAUCUGUAGCUGGUCUGAGAGGACGACCAGCCACACUGGGACUGAGAACCGGCCCAGACUCCUACGGGAGGCAGCAGUGGGGAAUUUUGGACAAUGGGCGCAAGCCUGAUCCAGCCAUGCCGCGUGCAGGAUGAAGGCCUUCGGGUUGUAAACUGCUUUUGUACGGAACGAAAAGACUCCUUCUAAUAAAGGGGGUCCAUGACGGUACCGUAAGAAUAAGCACCGGCUAACUACGUGCCAGCCGCCGCCGUAAAAC
rnacentral:rRNA from 1 species